AUCGGUGUUGUGCGGCUUAGCUGGUUCAGCUCCUGCGUUGUUUCUGUGCCCAGAUGGCUGCGUAGGUUCUGCUUUUGCUGCGGGUGCCAUGGGGGAAGCGGAGAAGUUUCACUACAUCUACAGUUGUGACCUGGACAUCAACGUGCAGCUCAAGAUAGGAAGUUUGGAAGGGAAAAAGAGAACAAAAGAGUUAUAAAGCUGUCCUAGAAGACCCAAUGCUGAAGUUUUCAGGACUAUAUCAAGACACCUGUUCUGACCUUUAUGUUACUUGCCAAGCUUUUGCAGAAGGGAAGCCUCUGGCUUUGCCAGUGAGAACAUCCUACAAGGCAUUUAGUAGAAGAUGGAACUGGAAUGAAUGGCUCAAGUUGCCCGUGAAGUACCCUGACCUGCCCAGGAAUGCCCAGGUGGCCCUGACCAUAUGGGAUGUGUAUGGACCAGGAAAAGCAGUGCCUGUGGGAGGAACAACAGUGUCACUCUGGAAAAUAUGGUAUGUUUCGCCAAGGGAUGCAUGACUUAAAAGUUUGGCCUAAUGUAGAAGCAGAUGGAUCAGAACCCACCAAAACUCCCGGCAGAACAAGUAGUACUCUCUCAGAAGACCAGAUGAGUCGCCUUGCCAAGGUAAAAAAGAAACUUUUCAAACAGGUAGAAAGCUCUGAAUAUUUAUAGUAUAGAAUGGCAUUAUGAGUAUAAUCAGAUUUUUUAAAAUUAAAAUUAAUUUUAAAUGUUUUAUUGAGAUAGAAUUUGCAUACCAUAAUUCACAUACACCUUUGAAAGUGUACAAUUCAGUGUUUUUUUUUUUUUUAGUAAAUUCACAGAAUUGUGAAUUGUGGAGCAAUCACCACUGUGUAAUUUUGUAACAUUUUUAUCACUCAAAAGAAGCCCUAUACCCCCUAGCAGUUAUCCCUCAUUAUCCCCUCCCUCCAUCCUCUGGCAAUUACUAAUCUACUGUCUUCUCUAUGGAUUUGUCUAUUCAGGACACUUCAAAUAAAUAGUAUCACACAGUAUGUCACCUUUUUUAUCUGGAAUUCAGUCAGAUUUGAAAAUGUGGAGCUUUUAGUGAUAUUUUUAAGAUAACCCAUCUUUUUUUGUGACACAGCCUUAAAGAUUGCAUGCUAGAGAUGCUUAUGUUUGGAAAUAGUUUAUUGGCUGCUCUAAACUGCCCCUCCUCCCUUUUUUUGUAAGCAGACUGAGUUUAUUUAUUACAUUUUUCAUUCAAGAUUGUCUUAAUAAAAUGUUUUUAUUUAGAAGUGCAAAAACUGAGCUCAAUUCUGUACUUAAAAUGAUGUAACUUAUUUUGUAUAUACCAUUCACAAAGCACUACAGUAGAUACUGUUUAAAGACCUUUUCUUACAGUUCUUCUAAGAGAAUUUCUUUUAAUUCUCACGUGUUUUCCUUUGCAAUCUUACUAGCAUGGGUCACUGUUUAAUGUCUGGAGAAAGUUUUGAUGCCAGGUGAUUUCCUGCCUGUUGUUUCAACCUUCGUCUGGAAGAAAUCUUAGUUAUAUAUAAUAAGUACUAGCAUUGGCUAGGCUUUGUGCUUCCAUAUAAAUUUUUGUUGUCAGGUCCAUUUAAAAUAUUUUUUUUGUAUUGCUCUUUUAUGGAAAAAUGAUAUCAUAGCUACCUAAAGUGAAGUGUUUUAACCAAUAUACUCUUGUCAGUCCCCUCCCCAUAAUUAAAUAAAAUUUAGUUUCCAGUUCA